rnacentral:rRNA from 1 species
CGGGACGGGCGAGUAAUGUCUGGGAAACUGCCUGAUGGAGGGGGGUAACUACUGGAAACGGUAGCUAAUACCGCAUAACGUCGCAAGACCAAAGAGGGGGACCUUCGGGCCUCUUGCCAUCGGAUGUGCCCAGAUGGGAUUAGCUAGUAGGUGGGGUAACGGCUCACCUAGGCGACGAUCCCUAGCUGGUCUGAGAGGAUGACCAGCCACACUGGGACUGAGACACGGUCCAG